rnacentral:lncRNA from 1 species
AUGUCAUCGGACGAUGCGAGGCACAGCACAGAGAAGGCCCCGUCUUCAUCACCGAAAGCGGUAAAACUAAAACGAACUCCUUUAUCUCAAUUUGCUUCUAUAAGCACUCCCACCCCAAAGCCCAUUCAACCGAACAUCGCGAAUAAUGCUGAAAGAGCAGUAAUUAGUACUUUGAAAUCAACGCCUCAGCCGGAAGUGGAAGAUGUCAGCAUACCACGUCCGCCCAGCAAGUUGGUCCGAGUGGCUGAGACUGAAACCUCCAAAUCAUGCUCUACUGCACCCUCCCUAAACCCCAAACCUAUCUGUGAUAAUAGUUUAAGUCCUCUGAUCAAAACCUCCCCCGAAAAGCGGGAAAUCCAAGACCCGAUCGAUCUGAUUCUUCAGAAUCCAUGUAUCGCCGCACCAAUCAGCGAAACGAAUGAAGGAGCCUUAAAAAACAAAGUGUCUGCCCUCAAUUCAUCCCUAGCUUCAAUUUGUAUGUACUCUUCAUCUGAUUCUGAUGGUUCGGAAAGUGAUAAAGAAGAUAUACGAACCUCUGAAGAGAUCGUUAAAUCCGGCCACAGUUCGGAGCCUGCUGAAUCAUGUAUAAAUUAUGAUACCAAUUUAGUGCCUAGUAAUGAAGCUUCCGAGCUUUUGAGUUCCGCUGAAGAGUCAACCAGCUCAGAAAAUAUAGAUAAUUGUACAAAAUCUAUUGACGAAAACAUUUGUGCUCUGAAAAACAAACAUUUUGAUUCCAGCAAGAAUUUCAGCGGUGAAUCGGGGGAAUCGAUCCCUGAAAUUUUUACAGUAAGUAAGACGCUUAGUGAAAAUAAGGGUUCCAUUAAUCUAGAAGGUACCAAUGAUAGCUGUAAGAUUGCGCUUGUAGAAGAGUCUAUAUAUGAUGCUGCGUCCAAAGAUAGUCUGAUAAGUUGUAGUGCAAUUGGAAGUAGCUCCUCAGAGAGUGCAUCUCGCAUUUCUGAGGCCCCCAGUAAGGAAUCCAUCACCCCAAGUUUGGAUCUCAUUGCCAGUGAGGACAGAAACUCUGUCACCAUUGCAGCAAAAAAUGAUGACACUUUUACUCACGUCAAGGAGAAGACUAUACCUUGCCGAACAGAUGAAGGCGUCAGCGGUGAAGGAUUUCUUUUUCCAUCUAGGCAGGAGGAAAAUUUCUCCCAAGAUGCCCCUGUCCCAGAAAUGCAGCGAAUUCCAGUUGGAAAGAGUUCGUCAACAACGUGUUAUGAUAAUCUGGGUCUUGCUAGAAACGAAAAUCUUAGGGAUACUGAGACGUCAGACUCUCCAGACAUAGUGAUGAGUGACAAUCUAAAGUCAAGUAUUGGUAACUCUAACGAAACAACCUUCGAUUGCGAGAAGAUUAUUCCAACAGAGUUGGUUGCAGUCUUAACUGAUGAGAGAAACGCAGACGAAGCUUUAGUCUCUGAACGUGAUAAUCGACCAGAAGAUGCUAGAGAGAUUCGUGCAAAAUCGUCUAAAAUGAUAAACGUUGAGAGCGGUUACUCCUCAUUAGAAAACAACGAAAAAACAGAUCGGAAGUCCCAGGAAAUAAAUGAAACAGAAAUCACCCGAUCUACAGUUGAUUACCUUGAGAGGCAGAGUAGCCCAGAUAUGGAGACUCUCAACUCUUGUGAUCUGAUACAAUCAAAAUUAAGAGAUGAAUCAGUCGAGUCCCACUCCAAAGAUUUAACCUCUGUGGAGGGUGUGAUUACAAAAAAAGAUGGUGCUGUUAAUGUUAACCCCGUAGAAUCCGAAGCUGCUGAUUCCUUUGCUGCCGCAGAAAAAGUAAGCAGUGCUGAGAAAUCAGUAUAUCCCACCCAUAUCUCAGUGUCAAGUGGAGACGUUAUGGAGCAGUUAGAUUUGCCUGAAGGCGUCUUAAACAGGCUGUCCUCAGAUUUGAUUCCUACGAAUUCAGCUGACAUUCCAAAGAAGCAAGUGACAUGUGACAUCGCACUAGAAUCUAAAUGUUCUGAAGUCUCUUCUCUGCAUUUAAAGAAAAAAGGAGACAGUAGCCUUAUGUCAACUGCGUGUUCCUUAAAAAUCCUCGGAGAUCAAACAGUCCCAGAACGAAUAGCACAUAAAGAUCCAGAAUUGAAAGGAAUGUGUGAUCUUACAAGGAAGGAAGAGCAGUUAAACUCUUGCGAUAAAACUAUUGUAUCAACUCUCAAGUCAGCCACAUCAUCAUUUGAAAAUAGUGAAACAAUUGAUGACUCAAAAUCUUUAAAAAACAACAGUAAAACUCUCAGAAGACAGUCGCCGAAAUAUUCAUGCGAUCAAUUUGACUUCGUAUCAAAUCCACAGGGUUUAGAAUUUGAAUCCUCAUCAAAACUAGACAAAAACAGCCCAAUACCAGACGAUUCCAUUUUAUCGUCAAUGCUGAAGAUACCUCCAAAUUCCUCUCCGCGCUUGCCAGGAAUUGGUUCUCUGAAAACAUCUUUAGGGCGCUUUGUAUCCGAUGCAGUCAGUCCUUCAUCAGUGCUGGAAUCGCCGGUCAGAGAGGAAAUCCCAAUUUCAUCAGCCUCCGAAGCAGUCGAAAUAAUUCAAAAUAUAUGUAACUCAGGUCCAUUUUCAAACAGUGCUCAAAUGUUCUCAUCGCCAGAAGUUUCCACUUCUGAUCUGUCUUUAGGGAUUUGUCCUCCUAAGGUUAAUGUGCAGGCGAGCUCGCCCUCUAUGUCAUUAGGUACUUUAGAUCCUUGCCUGACUAGAAGUCCCAAAAGUGGAUCAAACUUUCACGGUGAAACUUCAAAGUCAUUUAAUGCUAACCUUAAGUCUUGCUCAGUGCCUAAUCCAACAAAAAAUGAUAAAUCCGAAGAGUCAGUUUCAUUUUUAGAUCUAAACUCUUUGCUGAACUCAGACCUGAGCAAAUCCUUGGGGAUAAACGUUGAGACAUUCCAGUCCCCUUUGGAUAAGACUGUGGCUGACCCCAAAGAGCCUUACUUCAUGGAUUUCAACAAGUCUGCAGAUGUGCGGUCAGCUAUGAGUGUGUUUGACUCUGCAAUUUCAUCAGCUACGUGUCGGUCAAAUGAGGAUUCUUCCAUAGACAGCGAGCUUUUUGCAACGGCUAGAAAUAUUGAGGCUCAGUUCAGUUUUCGAGAUAAGGAAGAUUCGGCAGACUCAGUGCUGGACUCGGAUUUCUUGGAGGAACCAGUAGAAUAUCCUGUUUUUGAAACGAAAGUGCCUUUUGGAGCAGAGACUCAGUUGCCGUACAGAGCAAAUUUUUCUGGGUCCUCGCUAACCUCAAAGUCGCAGCUUCAUUGUGGCUCGAAAGCAGCAACGCCUCCUCAAAAAACCAAAUCUGCUUUAAAUGUUGCACCCUUAAUCAAAAGUACGCCGUUUGCUUUUUUUCAAGACAAUUCAAAACAGCCCGUGCGCAAACCCAAAGCCCCAUUAAAAGGUACAAGAGCUGCUCAACCUCCUGCUUUCAAAGCUAAUCCCGCAGUCAGAUCUAGAAAUCCCAAAACAGCUCCAGUUCCGAAACUGAAACCAAGUGUGAGUAUAACCACCGUUCGAAAGUGUGAGCCAAAAGAAAGCACGAUCUCAGUUGCGAAACAUCAUCCUGAAAUAAGAAAAGCUCCAGCCUCUAGGCAUGAGCCCCAAGUUAGCAUGCGUCCACCUGCAAACUUCGAAUCCAAAACAAGCCCAAUGCUGGCCUUCAGGCCUGAAACAAUACUUGACUCUAAAAUAACUGUAACUCCUGCUGCUAAACCAGAGCCCAAAGAGAGCAGAAAAUUAAUACCGAGGGUAGAGUCUAAAAAUAAUACAAUAAUAUCACCGAAAAUGGAGCUUAAACUUAACCCAGACGCUCCAGAAAUUCAUGAAACUUUAAAAGAUAUUGCAAUAAGUAAUCCAGAGCCCAAAAUCGAAACAGCUAAAUCGAAAAUUGGAAUUGCCACUGUUUUUAGAAGUCAAUUAGAAGCUGCUUUAAAUCCCAUCAGCCCCAUUGAUAACGAAGAAUCCUCCCACUUGACGGAACCUGCUACACCCUCACCAACAGCCAAUGAAACGGACUCUCAUCCUGUUGAUAAUCCUCCUGUUAUUGCAGAAAUAGUUGAACAAGGCCAUUCAAGUGAGAAAAAAAAUUCGAAAAAGAAGAAAUCACAUUCUAGAGACAAAAAAUCGAAGGAAACAGAUAUUAGCCAUCAAAGCGGUGAAGUUAACCUGUCAAGAUUAAGCUUACCAUUCCAAAAAAUGUCUUAA